UCUGGCUUGGUGUUGUAGAGGAAAUACUACAACUUAUCAGUGGUUCAAACAAUCCCAAGGUAAAACCAAGAGAGACCUGUGCUACUACACAGUAAAUGACAAUGAUCAUGCCCAAAAUUCUUGGGUUAAAGAUAUGUUUUCUUUGUUUGAUAUAUUGAUAAAAAACCGAGAAUGUAACAUACUAGAUUUUAACCCGCGGUACACCGCGGAGACAAUUAAUUUUUUAAUAUAUAUAAAAGUUUGCAAAUUGUAUCUAUAUAUAAAAUAUUUUUAUUUUAAAGUUUACAAUUGUUAUUAAAUAAUGUCCUGUCAAACUCGUCUCGUAAAAACCUAUUUAUUUUAUUAAUGUUGAUUUUAUUUAUGAUAUGUUUAUAAAUCAUUGUAUAAAUAUUUUGUAAUUUUGUAGUAAUUAACUGCUAUCAAAUAUUUCUGCAGUUUGAUGCUUAUAAUCGAAUUGUUAUAGUCAUGAAAAAAGCAAUAUCAAAAAUGAUAAUUUUGUAGUGUUUAAAUGAUAUUAAAUAUUUUGGAAGUUUUAUUUUAGUAACUAAUUGUGUAGUUAAUGUGGAGAGAUUUUGGGAAGAUAGUUAAAUGUCAAAUAUUUAAUUCGAAGAUUUACUUUCUAAUUAUCAAAAAUAAUUAUUAAAUGUCAGUGGCAGCUACUGUAAAUAAGUCCCAACUUGAUGAUUUAUUUCACAAAAUGGCUGCAAAAAUGUAUAUAUAGAUUAUAUCUCAUAUGUUCUUUCAGGAAAACGGUAGUCAUAUAUGGGACACCGAUGAGGCAAAAGAAUAUCUUGACAGGCAAGCACAAACUUUAGA
rnacentral:sRNA from 1 species